rnacentral:lncRNA from 1 species
GAGGACUGCAGAGAGAAUGAUCGGUUGAACUGCUCUCUUCACAGAAAUUCCAAACGCCUCUCAGCCUAUACCUUCCCGCACAACUCCAACAACAACUGGUAAUGUGCUGCCCCCAACUGCGCCUAGCGCCACAACCAGCACCACCACAGCGCCACCGCUUUUCAUGAGGAAGCCCCCCGUGGUGUGCCAGCUGACGUCUCCGUCGCACUAUGCCACGUGGUCACAACAGCAAGUAUUUGUCCAAAAUCAACGGCUUCCCCCGCCAAAUAUGUGCGACUACAUCAUACUGGACUUACCGCAGUUCCCGGAUGGGUCAUACGAGUGUACGUG